rnacentral:rRNA from 1 species
CACGUAGUUAGCCGGCGCUUCAUACCCGGCUACCGUCAACCCCGCCGCAACGGACAGGGCCUUCACCACCGGAGAAAGAGGUUCACAACCCGAAGGCCUCCAUCCCUCACGCGACGUCGCUGCAUCAGGCUUCCGCCCAUUGUGCAAUACCCCCCACUGCUGCCUCCCGCAGGAGUCUGGGCCGUGUCUCAGUCCCAGUGUGGCCGCCCACCCUCUCAGGCCGGCUACCCGUCACCGCCUUGGUGGGCCAUCACCCCACCAACAAGCUGAUAGGCCGCGAGCCCAUCCCCCACCGAAACACCCGAAGAUGAAACUAUCCCGACCAGGCCCAUGCGGACCAGCCGGCACACCCCGUAUUAGCCGCCCUUUCAAGCAGUUAUCCAGGAGCAGGGGCAGGUUACUCACGUGAUACUCACCGUUCGCCACUCAACCCACCCCAAAAACAGGGCGGCCCGUCGACUUGCAUCGUGUAAGCACGCCGCCAGCGUCGUCCUGUACGCCACGGAUCGAAACUCUACUCGAGUAACCG